rnacentral:lncRNA from 1 species
UUGAGGUAGCCUAAUUACACAUAAACACACAACUUAUUUAAUGGGUUCCUUUCACUGGAUCAUACGCUUUCAAUUGCUAUCAAUUCCAACUUGCACGUAAAACAAGUUUAAAAAUGUCAACGUGAUGGCUUUGGCGCCAUAAGUCUCGCAUGAUAUCUGCGAAUAACGACUUUCAUAAUAUAACCAGGCCAGGAGCCACGAAAGGUUGAUCACCUGUUACUCUAUCGAUAUAAAAAAGAACAAAUGUAUUUUAGCCGUUUCUCCAGCAAACCGUGACAUUCCCGUCUCUAUAAACCACAGAGAUCUUUGCGGUACACCUUGAAGUCACACACGAGACGAGAAGAACCUUAGAAAUUAUUUUUAAAGUGUUCUAACGAAGUACACUUGUAAACCACAUCAUUAUCAUUGUCCGUUCUUGUAGCGCCAUGCAGCGUGGACAUGUAAGGCCUUCUUACAACCAAUGAAGGCAAGAGAGGGCAUUAAAUAUUUGCGUGUAGGUUUCUAAUAAAUCAUGAGUGUCUUCAGGGCCUGUGAUCAAUAUCAUCACGGGAGGUAUGACAUGUUCUGUUGUUGACUGGCAAAACGUGCUUCACUUCUUUUACUCGGUAACACCAACGUCAUAAUAACAUGAACCAAAUGAAAUGAGCAAGUGAUUUUAAUAACGUGUCAAUACACGUCAGUACACUUUAUAUUCAUUGUCAUUUUUCACCCUAGGGCCUUCAUAAUGCAAGGGUGUGGCCGAAACUUUGGAUCAGGUGAUAUAAGGAAACAGAUUUCGCAUGAGACCAGUGGCGUAGAACGAGAUAAAAGACAGCUUGUACAACUGCUAUCCACUCACUGAGGUAAAACGUGUUGUCCAGCAAAGUCCUUUUUCAUUCAACAUGCUCGGGAUCAAAAUUAAUUGGAUACAUUACCCACGCGCGGUCAGAAACAAAAAUAGAUCGCUCUUUGAUACUUUGAACUUCAUCCAUGACGUGGGGUAUAACUUUUCUUUUUUGAAAGACAAGAAUGAAAAUAUAUAAGUCUGCGGGAUAUUAACCAACAAGGCUUCUUUUCUUGUCUAGCUUACUUUGUUUUCAUUUCUCUUCCUUAACCCCUUAUCGCUAGUUUCGUCUCACCUUCAUAGUUUAAGCCAAUUUAAGGGACAUUUUUUAAACAAUUUGAAAACCUGGUAUGUUUUAUACAAACAACCGGCUAAAAUUUUCAUCUGUUUUUUUUUUCUAGUGGUCCUUGUAUUGGAAUUAGUAUUUCUUUCUCUAAGCGCGAUCUAACAUAACAUAACAAGGUUUGAAAUGUACAUGUGAAGUAUGGACCGGUCUACCGGCCAGCGGCACAUGUCAGACAUGAAAGGCUAUGAAACCAGCUGAAAUCACGUACAUUGCAUCCUUGCGAGGCCACUGGUGAUCAGGCGUUCUAUUAUUUUUUUUUUUUUUUUCGCGACCCGACAGCGAAAAAGAAAGAACGCCUGAUCGUUCAUUAGGUCCAUGACUGUCGACAGUUCCCAAAUCAUGUAUUGUUCUGCGAAGGGACAUGUUUUGUAGCAGGGAACUGACGUCGUGUACAUGUUUCAUGCACGAAAGAAAAUGUACUGGGGGCAUGUCGCAGCAACCAUAGUGUUUUACCGGACCUUUAUAAUCGCCAGCUAUCUUCAAAACGAAGGCUACAAGAUUCCUAGUGAGCUUGUGUUGUAUCGAACGUCAUGGUGCGCGGCAAGUAAGCAGUUAAUCUAGUUUAUUUAUAGAUUUCUGUGAUGCUACUUGGGGGAAUUUGGCCUCAGCGCUACUUUUUUUCCUGCAGUGAUCAGGUCCUGUUUUCUCGUUACAU